AAGUUAGGGCUGAGGCAGUCUCUGGGGAAAGCUACCGUGAGCCCUCUGCAGGCUUUGCCUAGGAGGAGUUAUGAGGAAGCCAGCAGAGGGGCUAGCCUGCUGCCUUUCCUGAGUAAAGCCAGGGAAGUUUAAAAGGGAUUACAUGGCUGGAUUUCAGAUGGUGUUAUCAGUGUGUUUAGGCUAGAACUGAACUGAAGCUGAAAUUUGAGAAGGAACUUAUUGCAGUGCUUGGGUGUGGAUUAUUUUCCUUCAUGUCUCUUCCAUUUUAUAUAGCACAUUGCUGCAGGCAGCUAUAUGCUGUCCAAGUUUUAUAUGCUAGUGUUGAUGAUCAUUUAUAAAGCACUAGAGGUGAAUAAAUCCCUUUCCAAAGAUGCAACAA